GUGAUGGCUAAUACUGAGUGUCAACUUGAUUGGAUUGAAGGAUACAAAGUAUUGAUCCUGGAUGUGUCUGUGAGGGUGUUGCCAAAGGAGAUUGACAUUUGAGUCAGUGGAGUGGGAAAGGCAGACCCACCCUUGGGUGGGCACAGUCCAAUCAGCUGCCGGCAUGGCUAGAAUAUAAGCAGGCAGAAAAAUGUGAAAAGAGAGAGACUGGCGUAGCCUCCCAGCCUACAUCUUUCUCCCGUGCUGGAUGCUUCCUGCCCUCGAACACUGGACUCCAAAUUCUUCAGUUUUGGAACUCAGACUGGCUCUCCUUGCUCCUUAGCCUGCGGUGGCCUACUGUGGGACCUUGUGAUUGUUGCUGGGGAUGCCAGAGUUGGAAUUCAAGACCCAGGGAGAAGGGCUUCAGUCAGCACUCCAGUACCUCAGCUGGGAAUCCUGGAGGCUAUACCCUAUGUAUGGGGAAAAUGAGAGGUAGAUGGAAACUAAAAAACAAACAAACAAACCAGUCCCUGAUUAGUUGUGACUUUAUCUGCCUACCAGAAAAUAGGACUAGCCCUCUCUGGAAGAUGAUAGCAUUAUCCAGAACCUCAUACACAAAAUUUACCCAGGACACUCAUGAAGAGGAGGAAGAAAAGACAACAUAAACAGACAUACAGGUCACCUACUUAUUGGAGUUAACAGAUGGAUGUUCAAAUCUGUAUUAUUCUUAUAUUCAAGAGAAUGAAUGACAAAGAGUAGAAUUCCACUGGAGAACUAGUUAACCAAGGCUAGAUGGCUUCAUUGAAAGACUUUGUCAAGCAUGAAUAAAGCCACUAUAAAUAUUCUUGCACAAGUCUCUUUGUGAAUACAUUUUUAUUCCUUUAGGUA
rnacentral:lncRNA from 1 species